rnacentral:rRNA from 1 species
AUUGAACGCUGGCGGCAGGCUUAACACAUGCAAGUCGAGCGGAGAUGAGGUGCUUGCACCUUAUCUUAGCGGCGGACGGGUGAGUAAUGCUUAGGAAUCUGCCUAUUAGUGGGGGACAACAUUCCGAAAGGAAUGCUAAUACCGCAUACGUCCUACGGGAGAAAGCAGGGGAUCUUCGGACCUUGCGCUAAGAGAUGAGCCUAAGUUGGAUUAGCUAGUUGGUGGGGUAAAGGCCUACCAAGGCGACGAUCUGUGGCGGGUCUGAGAGGAUGAUCCGCCACACUGGGACUGAGACACGGCCCAGACUCCUACGGGAGGCAGCAGUGGGGAAUAUUGGACAAUGGGGGAAACCCUGAUCCAGCCAUGCCGCGUGUGUGAAGAAGGCCUUAUGGUUGUAAAGCACUUUAAGCGAGGAGGAGGCUACUGAGACUAAUACUCUUGGAUAGUGGACGUUACUCGCAGAAUAAGCACCGGCUAACUCUGUGCCAGCAGCCGCCGUAA